GACGUAGGGGGCCAGCGUUGCUCGGAAUUACUGGGCGUAAAGGGUUCGUAGGUGGUGCGGCAAGUUGGAAGUGAAAUCUCUGGGCUUAACUCAGAGGCUGCUUUCAAAACUGCCGUGCUCGAGUGCGGGAGAGGCCAGUGGAAUUGCAGGUGUAGCGGUGAAAUGCGUAGAUAUGUGGAGGAAUACCGAUGGCGAAGGCAGCCCCCUGGGCUAAGAUUGACGCUCAUGCACGAAAGCGUGGGGAGCAAACAGG
rnacentral:rRNA from 1 species